AAACAUGUGGUGAGAGGGGGUGUAUGUGUCGUUUCGGGAUCUCCAGUGGAUUAUCCUGUACUUCUGCUUGACAUUAGUGCUUGUGGUGGUAGGGGAGGAGAAAUAUUGUUGUGGGGAUGCUAGUGAGGGUGUGAGGUGAGGACUGUGGGCGUGGAGGGAGUGUGUGGAUGGAAAAAGGGUUUGCUUUGAGUGCUGUGAUCAAUACCGUGGGACAGGGAGGCGAGGAAACGUGUUAUUAUUAUUGUUUUGUGGAAAGGUGAUCUGUCCCAGCCCAGCCUCGCCAUCUUUGGAUUUAUAACAGGUGGUGGUCUGGCUGGAGCUAAUAACGCGCAUAUCGUCUGCUUCUCCCACUGCCGCCGCUAAUAUUAAAGGUGGUGAGGGCGCCCUGAUGUAAGAAGAGGUAGCGCUGGUGGUUGUGAUCUUCCCAACACCACCACUAAGACCACCAACUUCACUAUCACGACCUUCAAUAUCGCCACCUACUUCUUCAGCUCCUUCGUCUCCGCCUCCUCCUCCUCCUCGUCCUCCACCUCCCCCUCUGUCGUGUUCCUCGUUAGUGACUCCUCCACGACCAUCAGGUGCCUCGCCAGGUUCUCUUCGCGUGGGCGUGGAUGAGGAUGAAGGACCAGGGCUGAAAGGACCGAGGGCGCGGGAGGCACGAGGCGGCCACAUGCAGAGGCGUGAGGGGCGGCCUACUGCGCAUUUUCCCAAGAGUCGAGGCAUCCAAGUCUUUGAAGAACAUCAAGGCAGGGACUCGUGAUUGUUCUCGUGCUGUCAUUCUGGGGGUUUAA